rnacentral:rRNA from 1 species
GACGAACGCUGGCGGCGUGCUUAACACAUGCAAGUCGUACGGUAAGGCCCUUUCGGGGGUACACGAGUGGCGAACGGGUGAGUAACACGUGAGUAACCUGCCCACAACUUUGGGAUAACGCUAGGAAACUGGUGCUAAUACUGGAUAUGUGCCCCUGCUGCAUGGUGGGGGUUGGAAAGCUCCGGCGGUUGUGGAUGGACUCGCGGCCUAUCAGCUUGUUGGUGGGGUAGUGGCCUACCAAGGCGGCGACGGGUAGCCGGCCUGAGAGGGUGACCGGCCACAUUGGGACUGAGAUACGGCCCAGACUCCUACGGGAGGCAGCAGUGGGGAAUAUUGCACAAUGGGCGCCAGCCUGAUGCAGCAACGCCGCGUGCAGGAUGACGGCCUUCGGGUUGUAAACCGCUUUCAGCAGGGACGAAGCUUUUUGUGACGGUACCUGCAGAAGAAGCACCGGCUAACUACGUG